rnacentral:rRNA from 1 species
AUGGCGAUCGACGAGCCCGCCAAAAGCAAGAGAGGGGCGCCAGCGGGUGAUCCCCACUCUGCCAAGUCCAAGACGGGGCAGAAGAUGGUCCAUCGAAGGCGCCCUUUGCUUGAUGAAGGCAGCAGCAGCAGAAACGAAGACGGCGACGGCGACGACGAUUUUGAGCCUAUGGCUAUGGGAGGGACGCCAGCGGGUUAUCCCCCCCAUUCUGCCAGGACCAAGAUGGGGCAGAAGAUGUCGUUGGCACAUCGAAGGCUCUCUUUGCUUGACGAUGGCAGUAGCAUCAGUAGACACAUUGCUGCUGCUGCUGCUGCGGCUGAUGAUGUUGGUGGUGGUUCUGAGCAGAUGGGUGAGGAGUUCGCUGUUGAUGUUGCUCAGAAGAAUACAGCAGUUGAUGACAGCGAUGAUCCAGAUGGUAGCGAGGACGACUUUGUUCCAUUGAUAAUGAUGAGAACCAAGAAUGUGAAGAGUGAGCCUGGAAAGCAUCCCGGCCUCCGAUAUAAACACAAAACCCAGAGAACUAUCAAUAAAACUUAUAAAAGGAAGAAGACAGGGAGGUCAGCAGGUCCAGUAUAUGCCAAGAGAAAGGUAGAGAAGAAGCCAAGAUUGGUUGGCAGCAACAACAUUAGUAAGAUAUCUGAUGAUGAUGGCCAGAAGAAAUAUGCAAGCUAUAGUGUUUUGGGCUUCUAUGCCACUGCUUUUGACAGAGCUUUGGAGGUAGAAAAGAAAUUGCCAGCAGAAGGUCCGAGCUUCGUCAAGCUUAUGCAGAUAUCACAUGUUGUAAGGGUUUUUUGGCUGGGUGUCCCGGUUAGCUUUUGCAGAGAGCAUCUUCCAAAUCAUGAUGUUACAAUUGUAUUAGAAGAUGAGGAUGGUCACCGGUUUGAUACAAAUUAUCUAGCGCGCAAGCAGGGCCUCAGUGGUGGGUGGAAUAGAUUUGCAACGCGACAUCAUCUUAAGGUCGGCGAUGCAGUGGUCUUUCAACUCGUGGAACCAACAAGAUUUAAGGUGUACAUACUGAGAGAGAGUAAGUUCAGUACAACCGAUGGAGCACUCAGUCUCCUGAGUUUAGACACGUCCAUGGAAAACAACAUGCCCGAAAAAGGAGAAGAUACUUCUGAUGAAGAUGCCAAGUCCAGGGAGGAUCCAGAAGUCACCAAAGUCGUCACCAACAAAGCAUCCGAUGAUGAUAGCAACGACCUUUUUAGUGAAGCAGCAGCAAACGGGGGCGUCGGAUCCCCAGAUCCAGACCCUGAUUUCGACGCCGUGAAAACAUUCAGAACCUUCAAGAUGGCCAUCGACAGUUCUGUCAUCGACCACAAACUAGUCCAAGAUCGCCUGCUUUGGACGUACUACAAGCUCUGCGGCGACCGGAAGGCGUUCCUCCACAGGCGUCUGCCGAAGCACAUAAACCUGACGCUAGCCGCAGGGGUGAUAGUAGAGACGGCCAGCAUCGCUGAGGGCAUCAGGUCCUACCCCAGCUCCUGCUCUUCCUGCGAGGACCUCGCGGCGUGGAAGAAGACCCUGGAGUCCUUCGAGCUGCUGGGAAUGGACGUGGGCUUCAUACGCGAGCGCCUUGAUGAGCUCCUUUUCCUCCUUGACGCCCGGUCAUCGGAUGAUCACCCGCCAGAGGGGUAUGAGGAGGUGAAGCUGGAGCGUGCUCGUGCCGCGGAGAAGGUGAGGGCCCUCGAGUCGAAGAUGGCGAGCCUGAAGGAUGCUCUCAAGGAUAUGGAGAUGGAGAUGGAGGAGAUCGCGGAGAAGAGGAGGGGCCAUGCCUUGCUGCAGCUGGCGGCCGCGCCAUGGUGA